rnacentral:rRNA from 1 species
UGCUUCCGCCGACGACCGGCGCACGGGUGCGUAACGCGUAUACAAUCUACCUUGUACUGGGGUAUAGCCUUUAGAAAUGAAGAUUAACCCCCCAUAGUCUCUUAGAGUGGCAUCACUUCUAGAGUAAAGGUUACGGUAUAAGAUGAGUAUGCGUUCUAUUAGUUUGUUGGUGUGGUAACGGCACACCAAGACUACGAUAGAUAGGGGCCCUGAGAGGGGGAUCCCCCACACUGGUACUGAGACACGGACCAGACUCCUACGGGAGGCAGCAGUGAGGAAUAUUGGACAAUGGAGGCAACUCUGAUCCAGCCAUGCCGCGUGCAGGAAGACUGCCCUAUGGGUUGUAAACUGCUUUUAUACAGGAAGAAACACCUCUACGUGUAGAGGCUUGACGGUACUGUAAGAAUAAGGAUCGGCUAACUCCGUGCCAGCAGCCGCGGUAAUACGGAGGAUCCAAGCGUUAUCCGGAAUCAUUGGGUUUAAAGGGUCCG